CCAGGUAUGGUGAUAUGGUGCCGAAGACAAUAGUUGGGAAGAUCUUUGGUUCGAUAUGUUCUCUGAGUGGGGUCUUAGUUAUUGCUCUGCCUGUUCCUGUUAUUGUCUCCAAC
rfam:Alligator mississippiensis ScZkoYb_58, whole genome shotgun sequence.